AUUGAACGCUGGCGGCAGGCCUAACACAUGCAAGUCGAACGAGUGGCGGACGGGUGAGUAAUGUCUGUGAAACUGCCUGAUGUAGGGGGAUAACUACUGGAAACGGUAGCUAAUAUCGCAUACCAUCAGAUGUGCCCAGAUGGGAUUAGCUCGUAGGUGGGGUAACGGCUCACCUAGGCGACGAUCCCUAUCUGGUCUGAGAGGAUGACCAGCCACACUGGGACUGAGACACGGUCCAGACUCCUACGGGAGGCAGCAGUGGGGAAUAUUGCACAAUGGGCGCAAGCCUGAUGCAGCCAUGCCGCGCGUAUGAAGAAGGCCUUCGGGUUGUAAAGUACUUUCAGCGGGGAGGCGUUACCCGCAGAAGAAGCACCGGCUAACUCCGUGCCAGCAGCCGCGGUAAUUC
rnacentral:rRNA from 1 species